UGCGUAGGCGGGCUAAUAAGUCAGUGGUGAAAUCUCUCGGCUCAACCGGGGAACUGCCAUUGAUACUGUUAGUCUUGAGUUCGGUUGAGGUAGGCGGAAUGUGUAAUGUAGCGGUGAAAUGCUUAGAUAUUACACAGAACACCAAUUGCGUAGGCAGCUUACUAGACCGACACUGACGCUGAGGCACGAAAGCGUGGGGAGCGAACAGGAUUAGAUACCCUGGUAGUCC
rnacentral:rRNA from 1 species